UAAGAAAAAUGUCUGAGGCUCAAACGGC
rnacentral:piRNA from 1 species